CACUUCCGGCUGGAUCGCCGGAUAUCCGCUGAGUGACCCUUACAAGUCCUUCUUGAUUCUGAAGUGGAGUAAGUCCUGCUGUUGUUUUGUGAUAUAGAAUCCAGAACCGUAGCCUGACAUGGGAUUGGAGGACGAAAGAAUGAUGCUGACCGGAUCCGGAGACCCCAAAAAGGAGGAAGAAGAGGAGGAGGAAGAAUUAGUGGAUCCUCUAACAACAGUAAGAGAGCAAUGUGAGCAGAUGGAGAAGUGUGUAAAGGCCCGGCAGCGGCUAGAGCUGUGUGAUGAGCGCGUGUCCUCCCGAUCUCAAACAGAAGAGGACUGCACAGAAGAGCUCUUUGACUUCUUGCAUGCUAGGGACCACUGUUCCCCCCCCCCUCCCCUUUUUAGGCAUGGUUUCAUCCUACUCCAACUUGACCUGGAACUCUAGCUCCAGGCUGACUAGCCAACCUAUGGGAUCCUCCUCCUACUCUCCAAGUGCUGGGAUUAAAGGUGGCCCACAAGCUUUUCAACAGCUUGAAGUAAAUGUGCAGAUUCACUCACCCCAGUUUUCAUCGGCCUGGACAUCAGGAUACUUUGUGGGUUUGAACAUGUCAUAAUAAAGUCCUAUAACCAACA